GGGGUCGACUGGUUUUGACAGCAGGUUUCCAUAAUGAAAUAAGCAGGUCGAGCGCUGAGACAAAGCUCGUAAAUAAUAUGUUUCAACUUUUAAAUGGCGAGAAUAACUACGCUCUAGCUGCAUAAUCGACUGAAUUAUAGUAAGUCUUUGCCAUGUCCCAGCAAGGCUGGGAAGCUGGAUGUCUCUCGAUAGCCCUUGUUGACGGCGAUCGAUUUUGAGGCACCAUAGAUGUCAACAUCGAAAUACUAAUGCAUCGAUAGUAUUUUUCAAUAAAGAUGAUAAGGGAUUCUUGGGCGGUUUUCGGUCACUGAUUCUUCGAAAAUUAAACGAAAACUAAACUUGUAGAAAGUUUUAUUAUGUCUUGUUUGGACGCGGGUUCGAUUCCCGCCGACUCCACGG
rnacentral:tmRNA from 1 species